UGGCUCAGUUGGUAGAGUGUGGUGUUUGCAACGCCAGCAUGGUGUGUGCAACGCCGGGGUUGUGGGUUCGAUUCCCAC
rfam:Salmo salar isolate Sally breed double haploid chromosome ssa28, whole genome shotgun sequence.